AUUGAACGCUGGCGGCAGGCCUAACACAUGCAAGUCGAACGAGUGGCGGACGGGUGAGUAAUGUCUGGGAAACUGCCUGAUGGCGGGGGAUAACUACUGGAAACGGUAGCUAAUACCGCAUACCAUCGGAUGUGCCCAGAUGGGAUUAGCUAGUAGGUGGGGUAACGGCUCACCUAGGCGACGAUCCCUAGCUGGUCUGAGAGGAUGACCAGACACAAGGGAACUGAGACACGGUCCAGACUCCUACGGGAGGCAGGAGUGGGGAAUAUUGGACAAUGGGCGCAAGCAUGAUGCAGGCAUGCCGCGUGUAUGAAGAAGGGCUUCGGGUUGUAAAGUACUUUCAGCGGGGAGGCGUUACCGGCAGAAGAAGCACCGGCUAACUCCGUGCCAGCAGCCGCGGUAAUUC
rnacentral:rRNA from 1 species